UACGUAGGGGGCAAGCGUUGUCCGGAAUCAUUGGGCGUAAAGAGCGUGUAGGCGGCUUGGUAAGUCCGCUGUGAAAGUCUAGGGCUCAACCCUGGAAUGCCGGUGGAAACUGUCAAGCUUGAGUCCGGAAGAGGCGAGUGGAACUCCUGGUGUAGCGGUGAAAUGCGCAGAUAUCAGGAGGAACACCAAUGGCGAAGGCAGCUCGCUGGGACGGUACUGACGCUGAGACGCGAAAGCGUGGGGAGUAAACAGG
rnacentral:rRNA from 1 species